rnacentral:tRNA from 1 species
GGUCAAGCGGUUAAGACGUCGCCCUCUCACGGCGAAAACAGGGGUUCGAUUCCCCUA